rnacentral:antisense_RNA from 1 species
CAAUAAUAUAUAGAAACAAAUUAUAAAAUAACAACUAAUGAUAGAGAAUAUAUAUUUAAAUUAUAAGGAAAGGUUUGUUGGAGGUAAAGUAUGUAAGAAUAGAAUUGUAAUUUAACAAUUCAUCAAGGAGUCUUUACUUUAAUUGAAUUACGGAGUUUAAUCAAGCAGUUCAAUGCGUGGCUGUUUUCAUCAUUCUCAAUAAUUCUGCAAAUGACUGCUGCAGCAUCUAUAAAUUCUAGAAGAAAAUUGGAAUCUUCAAAAAACUCAAAAUCCUUAUUUUCCCAAAGCAAACUUACUCUCUGAAUAAUGCACAAAAGAGUAUCUGAAUUGAAUUGGUGUUUGAAAUAUGAAGAUAGCUUGCUUAACUUUUUUUCAAAGAGUUCAAAGAAUAAGUCAUCCCAGUGUAAAAUUAAAAAGCUUAUGGUUCCUUGAAAAUCAAGAAUACCUUGCUUAUCUCUCUCUUCAAAGUUAUUAACUCCUUUGAUAUUUCUAAUCUUUGAAUAUUUCCAUAUAUGGUCAUUAUCAACAAGACCUUGAAGAACUGUGGAAGCAUUCGAAAAUCUUGAGGAGUUUGAAAUAUUUGAGGACAUUCCACCUUUGGAUAUAGUUGAAGAUUUCAAAUAUUUAACCAAAUAUGGUGCAAGUAUCUGAGCGAGUAGUUGCUGAACAGUUAAAGCAAUUUCAAAAUUAGAUUGGUCUUCUUCAUUCACUUCGGCCUCAUCUUCCAGAAAGAAGCAGUUCAUCUGACAGCUGGACAAUUUUCUUGAAUAAGUGCUCUUUCCUAUCGAUUCUCGUCUAUCAUCAUCAUCAUCAUCAUAAAAGUAAAUUCUAUCUUUUGACCUGUUUCUUCUGCAAAUUCGAGAAUAUAUGGAAUUCAAUAUUGAAUUCCAAUCAUUCAUUCCUCCAGCACUACUUGAUGCCAGAAUUGGUUUCUCAUCUGGACCCCAAAUUUUCCUAAAUAUUUCACAUCCAAUUGACCAUUCAAUAAAAAGAGAAAUUGAAUCUAUGUUCCCACAAUACUUUUGAUGCAUAUUUAUGUUGCUGCUUGCAAGAAGAGAAGAAAACAAUACUCUUGGACUAUCUAAAGCUAUCCUAUUAUAAAGAAAUAUGUUUCCUUCUUUGCAAUUUAUUACUCUUUCUGGUUUAACGUAUUCAAUAAAGUAAGGCAAAAUAUCUCUGGUCAAGUCCCCGUCCGUAAACUCCUCAUCUUUUCCAAUAACAUUGUAUAAAUCAGAAUCAUGGUUAUUGUAUAUUUUUGAACCAAUAUUUUUUUCAUCAUUCUGUACUGUGGAGUUCCUUUCCAGAUUCAAACCACUUUUCCCUGUCAAAGUAUCAUUCUUGCCAAAAAUUUGGUCCAAAAUAUUCUCAUUCAAGUUCAGCUUUUCCUCGCCAGUGCUGUUUUCAGAAAUUAUACUCAAAAAAUUCUCUGAGAAAAUGGCCUUAACUGACAUUAAACGUAUCUUUGGAGGUUUUGAUUCAUCUAUUAUAUGAAAUAAUAUAUUCCCGUCGUUAAAAUUCUCAUAGUGGGAUGAUAUUGAUAAAUUAUGAAGAUCAUGAAAACCUUUACACGAGAGACUUGGGGUAAAUCCAGCAGGGAAAUCCCAUCCAAACAAAACCUUACCAGCAUAUCCAGAAACUCUAUAAACAAUACUUGCCUUGAAAUCUGCCGAAAAAAGAGAUUCACAGCUCGCACCAAACUCUACUAUGCUAUUUGCAUAAAUCUUUUCUGGAGGAAAUUCUAUCCACUGUCCUCCCGAAACUAAGUUCUCCAUAGAAUAGGGAGAAUAUGGGCCUCUUGUUAUCAAAUUUUCAUUAUGACUUUCUAUAUGCAUGCUGGGAGUAACUGCUGAUGAAAUGGUCGAAUUUCCCAAACUCCUAUUCUUGAACUUUUCGCUAUCGCUCUUACUUGCUGCAGGGAGCUGUAAAGUUAAAUCAAAAUCUGUCAAGUUCACAAUUCUAAUGUAAAGAGACCGAGGAAAUGUUCUUAGUCUCUUUACCCACUCGUAAUAAUUCGAAUUCAACCUCUUAUUCAAAUCAAAGUUAUAUUGAUUGGAAUGCUUUUCUCUAUAAUCCUUUGAGUCUAGUCUAUCCAAUAACUUGUUACCAAAUUCAGUCUCUCUAAUAUUAAUAUGAGUCAUUAACCUCUUACAAGAUCGCUGCAAUCCGUUCGUAUUAUCCAAGUAAAAGAUCUCACUCCUGUUUCCAUCAGCCUUGCUUGUAAAUCCUACAAACUUGUCAUCUCCUUCAAUAACCCCAGUCCAAGCAUUAGCCUCACAAUCUCCUAUUAUACGGGAUUCAUACUUAUAAAUAAAGAAAUACUCCAACCCGUUCACUAUAACAGAAUAUACAACGUUGCACCCAAAAAUACUUUGAUAGGUUGCACUUGAACACACAAAUGACGUCAUCAUUCCUGAGCUAAUCCUUUCUACUGGAUGGUAAAUCCAUUCUCCUUUAUCAAGUAUUUGUAUAUACCUGAAAAAAGUUAGUCGAGUAUUAUUCUUUAUUACUACCUCCAGUUGCUCCAUCUUCACAAAGAAUUCUUUUUAUCCUUCUCUUAAAUGUACCUAUUUCAGUAUUCAGUUCUUUUUUCU